CCUACGGGGGGCAGCAGUGGGGAAUUUUGCGCAAUGCUCGUAAGAGUGACGCAGCGACGCCGCGUGAAUGACGAAGGCCUUCGGGUCGUAAAGUUCUUUCGACAGGGAAGAAAAUGCCUAUAAGUAACUGUGUAUGUAUUGACUGUACCUGUAUAAGCAGCCCCGGCUAACUCCGUGCCAGCAGCCGCGGUAAUACGGAGGGGGCGAGCGUUGUUCGGAGGGACUGGGCGUAAAGAGCACGUAGGCGGUGUUGUAAGUCAUUAGUCAAAGACUAGAGCUCAACUUUAGUAAGGCUAGUGAUACUAUAAUACUAGAGUAUCAGAGAGGAUUGCAGAAUUCCUGGUGUAGCGGUGAAAUGCGUAGAUAUCAGGAGGAAUACCGUUAGCGAAGGCGGCAAUCUGGCUGGAAACUGACGCUGAGGUGCGAAAGCGUGGGUAGCAAACAGGAUUAGAUACCCCUGUAGUC
rnacentral:rRNA from 1 species